ensembl:misc_RNA Y_RNA Y RNA
CGCUGGUCUGAAGGUAGUGAAUUAUCUUAGUCAGUUAUUCACAGUUGCUUACAGAGCAAAUUCCUCAUUCUGCUCUUUCCCCUGUUCUCACUACUACAUUUGACUGGUCUAUU